rnacentral:rRNA from 1 species
UACAGAGGAUGCAAGCGUUAUCCUGAAUGAUUGGGCGUAAAGCGUCUGUAGGUGGCUUUUUACGUCCUCCGUCAAAUCCCAGGGCUCAACCCUGGACAGGCGGUGGAAACUACCAAGCUGGAGUACGGUAAGGGCAGAGGGAAUUUUUGGUGGAGCGGUAAAAUGCGUAGAGAUCGGAAAGAACACCAACGGCGAAAGCACUCUACUGGGCCGAUACUGACACUAAGAGACGAAAGCUAGGGGAGUGAAUGGG